rnacentral:rRNA from 1 species
UCGAGGGGUAGAAUUAGCUUGCUAAUUUGAGACCGGCGCACGGGUGCGUAACGCGUAUGCAAUCUGCCUUUCACAAAGGGAUAGCCCAGAGAAAUUUGGAUUAAUACCUUAUAGUAUAUUUUUGUGGCAUCACAGGAUUAUUAAAGAUUUAUCGGUGAAAGAUGAGCAUGCGUCCCAUUAGCUAGUUGGUAAGGUAACGGCUUACCAAGGCAACGAUGGGUAGGGGUCCUGAGAGGGAGAUCCCCCACACUGGUACUGAGACACGGACCAGACUCCUACGGGAGGCAGCAGUGAGGAAUAUUGGACAAUGGGCGCAAGCCUGAUCCAGCCAUGCCGCGUGCAGGAUGAAGCAUCUAUGGUGUGUAAACUGCUUUUGUACGGGAAGAAACCCCGCCACGUGUGGCGGACUGACGGUACCGUAAGAAUAAGGAUCGGCUAACUCCGUGCCAGCAGCCGCGGUAAUACGGAGGAUCCAAGCGUUAUCCGGAAUCAUUGGGUUUAAAGGGUCCGUAGGCGGACCUGUAAGUCAGUGGUGAAAUCUCCCGGCUCAACCGGGAAAUUGCCAUUGAUACUGCAGGUCUUGAAUUAUUAGGAAGUAACUAGAAUAUGUAGUGUAGCGGUGAAAUGCUUAGAUAUUACAUGGAAUACCGAUUGCGAAGGCAGGUUACUACUAAUG